UUCUAUUUCUUCUCUUGUUUGAGCCAUCAGACAGUGUAAGCUAAAAAUCACCUCAAUUCAAUCCUCUCUUACAGAUGCAGAAAAAGGCCCUUGGAGGCCUCAAGGUGCCUGUGGUGACAGCCCAGUGUUCCUGACCCUCAGGGCUUGAAGACCGGUCUCAGCUGCGAUGCAGAGGGGCACAGUGGCACUGGACCUUGGCUGGACACAUCUUAACUGUGGCUUCCAGCCCACAGAGCACUUGCAACCAGCCAGGCACUGAGCUGACAGACAGCAUUAUGAACGCCAGCUCACUGAAUCUACCCUAUCAGCCCUCCAAGACUCAGGCCUGUGCUCCUCUGGUGACAGGACCCCACACCCAGCCCCACCAGGCCCACUCACAGAUGACUAUGAGGAUCAUACAGAAGAGCUGAAUGCCUGAGCCCAGGAGGGAGCUGAGGAUCAUGGGGUACUGGGG